GAUGAAGAACGUAGCAAAAUGCGAUAAGUAAUGUGAAUUGCAGAAUUCAGUGAAUCAUCGAAUCUUUGAACGCACAUUGCGCCCGCUGGUAUUCCGGCGGGCAUGCCUGUUCGAGCGUCAUUUCAACCCUCAAGCCCCCGGGUUUGGUGUUGGGGAUCGGCUCUGCCCUUCUGGGCGGUGCCGCCCCCGAAAUACAUUGGCGGUCUCGCUGCAGCCUCCAUUGCGUAGUAGCUAACACCUCGCAACUGGAACGCGGCGCGGCCAUGCCGUAAAACCCCAACUUCUGAAUGUUGACCUCAAAUCAGGUAGGACUACCCGCUGAACUUAAGCAUAUCAAUAAGCGGAGGA
rnacentral:misc_RNA from 1 species